GGGCCCGCACAAGCGGUGGAGCAUGUGGUUUAAUUCGACGCAACGCGCAGAACCUUACCAACCCUUGACAUGCCCGUCGCGAGGACCAGAGAUGGACCUCUUCAUUUAGUUGGACGGUGCACAGGUGCUGCAUGGCUGUCGUCAGCUCGUGUCGUGAGAUGUUGGGUUAAGUCCCGCAACGAGCGCAACCCUCGCCUUCAGUUGCCAUCAUUCAGUUGGGCACUCUGAAGGGACUGCCGGUGACAAGCCGGAGGAAGGUGGGGAUGACGUCAAGUCCUCAUGGCCCUUACGGGUUGGGCUACACACGUGCUACAAUGGCGGUGACAGUGGGAUGCGAAUGGGCGACCUGGAGCAAAUCCCAAAAAGCCGUCUCAGUUCGGAUUGCACUCUGCAACUCGAGUGCAUGAAGUCGGAAUCGCUAGUAAUCGCGCAACAGCAUGGCGCGGUGAAUACGUUCCCGGGCCUU
rnacentral:rRNA from 1 species